ACUGUUGUUUUUAUUAGGAAAAUCCUUUUGCAGAUUCGAUAUGAUAAUUUCUUCAUAUACAUAUCUUAUAUCUUAUAGUUAGGAUGCAUUGCCACAGUACAUUAUAGUAGGAAGACUAUUGCUAGAAUAAAUAGCUAGAAUAAUUAUUAUAAUAAUUAUAUUAAAAAUAAAAUAAUAAAAUGUCUAUACAUGAUCAUUAUGUUAAAAAAAGGUCCAAACAAAAAACAUGUUUACAAAAACAAUAAGAGAUUAAAAACAGUUACACUUUUCAAACCAAAGCCAUUAUUAAUGUAGAAGAAUUAUAAUAAUAAAAUACAAAUAUGUUAAUUUCACAGUUUGCGUCCUUAUUGGUUCUCAUGCUGGCUGGGAGGAACACUUAUUGGGGCCAUGCAGGGAGGGAAGGACAGAGAUGGAGGUUAGUAGAACUACACUACCCAGAAGUCAUUACACCCCUCAGAGGCCCGGUCCAGAAACAACUUUGAGGCACUUCCACGUUUUGUGUUUGGCAGAGCAGACAAAUGUAAACAAUAUGGCGGAAGUUCCCCAAAGCCUAAUAGUUAACCCUGUCCCCUAUCCAGUCCCUUCAGAUAUUUGAACUUCUAGGGGCAAGGAGUUGUUUCUGGGCUGAUAGUAUGAUCUGGGGUGAUGCAAAAAUUCCAAACUGUGUCCUUGGUAGGCUUGAGUUUAUAGAACAUGUUUCUGAUUAACUACACUCAAUGAACUACUCUUCCCAUAGUCCUUUGUGCCACUUCUCUUCUGCAACCCUCUUUCCAGCUACAUGACUUUCUGAUAACACACAUCAGUGAAAGGCUGUAGGGGAUUUUUCAGGUAGAAACUACGUAGAACAGACACAACUAUCUGGCUUGUAUAAUCUAUUCUAGAAUCAUAUCAGCUCUGUUCUGUGUGUUUCGAUCUUGGUUUUUAUUCAGCCAUACAGCAGCCUCUUUGUCCAUUCCUGAGUCAUUAUAGGAAUGCUCUCUGAACCCAUUCCCAAAAUCAGACUUUCAUCUAAAUCAUGUUAUUGAUAUAUUUGUGAGGAAAGUCUAGUUUUGUGUGUGGAUCUCAAGACAGGAUCCAGCACUCUAAACUACACACGCCAAAAAAGAAACCCUCUCAUUGGUUCAUUUCUGGAGGACUCUGCCCAUUUGGGCUUUGGCCAAUCCCCCAGGUGUUCAACCAAUGAGGUGAGAGAUCUUCCUCAGGGCCCACCCCUUCUCUGAUUAUAAUAAUGUUCUGUGGAAUCACAGUUGGCAGCUCUAUCCUUUCACUCCUAAGAGAACCACACUACCCACAAUCAUAUGAAGAGGGCAAAGGGGGCCAUGAUGUCACCAUUCCCUAACGUUCCUAAAUCCUCUAUAGACUCUAUAUCCACCUCCAGCUAUAUAACUCAAAUAGCUAUUUACAGCUAUAUACAGAUGUGGAGUGAAGGGGAGUGGUAAAACUAAUAGGAAGAGUACAACAGACAGGGUUACAGGGUGACACAGCAGUGCAGAAAAAGAGACAAUGUGCAAACCUCACGACACCUUACUCCCUAUAUAGUGCACUACUUUUGACCAGAAUCACAUCAGGGGAUAGGGUGCCGCAUGAGACACGCAGAUAAUGAGGUUUCUGUGGCACAGAGGACUGCUCUCUGUCUGCUUGGUAUGCCUGUGUAUUUAUGUGUGUGUGUACUGUGUACAGUACGUGUGUGUGUUUGUGUGUGCAUGAGCCUCAGCAGUCUGACUCAUGCAGAACGCGUGGGUCAUCUCCACAGGGAACCUCUGACAGACACUACAUAAAACCGCAUUAACACACACACUGAAUAUUGUGGGAGGAUGGGGUAAAGGUGUCUGUGCUGAUUCAAACUAACACUGUUGAGUGCACUGUACACACACACACACACACACACACACACACACACACACACACACACACACACACACACACACACACACACACACACACACACACACACACACACACACACACACACACACACACACACACACACACACACACACAACAUACUAGUUUAAUACUAUUUGAUGUAGAACGUUCCACAUAAUUCACUAAAAUGUGGGUCAAUCUGAUCUGAAUAAUAGAUGACUGUAUACGUUAUUAUAGUUCUAGUGUAAUACUGCACUAUAACACUGUUUUCUAAUCAGAUCCAGGACCUUUUCCUGAGCAUGUGAUCUGAACAGGAACAACCCUGAGCCUUAGCUAUAGCCUACAACUGGGGAUCAGCGUUUUCCUGGUCAGGGCAUGAGGUCAGGAAAACAUUUGGGCCAUAAGUAUAACACAGCACAUAGCAACACAACGUACCUUCUCAAUACCCUAUACACAGUGGCCACCGGGGAUGGGGACCUUUCUCUUUCUAAUUCAGUCUAUUCAAUUUGCCCAUUGUUUUUCAAUGACAGAUUUUUCCUUUCAUGAACAGAAUUUCAAUGAAUAUUCUGAAUUGAAAAUGAACUCCAAUCACUGGUUGAAACUCAAAUCAAUUCCGUGCUUCUUUAUUAGAGAGAGAUAUAAAGGGGUGUUUUCUACUUCUUUGGGUCCAACGGUGUUAUUCCAGAAAGACAGUUUAGAUCCUGGUUCCCUCACAUAGUGUGUUCUAAAUAGUACCCUAUAUAGUGAAUUACUAGUGAACUACUUUAGAUCAGAGCAUAAAGAAAGGUAGUGCACUAUAUAGGGAAUAGGGUGCCAUUUGGGAUGCCAGCUUAACCUUUUUGUCUGUUUCGUUACAAUACCGUGCUAUAUAACCAACCCACAGCCUUAUGGUGCUCUGUACACACACGUUUAAAUACUGUACACAUUACAAGUCACCUGGAAUAAUAACUACAGGAGAGCUGCUCCCUCCUUCCUCCACCUCUGUCCAAAAUAUAUUGGCCGUCAUUUAUUCUGCAAGAUAACGGAACAUGGUAAAACAAAAACACAACGUCAAUCAAAUGAUUGUGCUUUUAGCUCUCCUGUAUAGUAAGAAGUAGGAUGACUUUGUCCAUAAAUGCUGAUCUAAGAUCAGUUUUGCAUUCCCCCCUAAUGGUUAGUUAUGAUUUGAGGAGUAAGCUGAUCCUAGAUCUGCGGGUUAGGGGCAACUUCCACCUGGAGUAUAUAUUCUGUACUUUGACAAACAACCUUAUUGCUUUACAUAAACCAAUAGAGGUGUUUGGGACAAUAAUAUAAUGACAUUUACAUAAUAAUAUCACUCCUUUUUCAUGUACAUACUAUGUAGGAAUACACUUGGUGAAUGACCACUGGUCUCCAAAAAGCAUGGUGUGUGUGCAUUUAUAUUUGUGUGUGUAUGUGUGACAUUAAGUGCAAUGUGAUGGUAUUUGCAUGACAUUAAACUAAUCGAGUGUCUUCCCUCCAUCAAGUAGAGUCGUCACUCCAUCCUCUCUGUGCUUCUCUGUGUACGAAGAGGAUUCAGCUGCUUGGCAUGGGAAACACAAGGCCAAUAGAAAGGCUCCUCAAAUGGAACAACAAGGGCCAAAGCCAACCGACGCAAACAUUCCCAACGACACCAUCCGCAGUAUUCCCAGUCCAAAUCCCACAACAAACUUUUCUAAUACCUCUUCACAUGUUCCAAGUCCACUCCAUCGUCCAUCCAACCAAAGUCCAACUACCAAGUGUCCCAGGCAGACUUCUUAACAUUUCACUCCAACUACCAAGUGUCCCAGGCAGACUUCUUAACAUUUCACUCCAACUACCAAGUGUCCCAGGCAGACUUCUUAACAUUUCACUCCAACUACCAAGUGUCCCAGGCAGACUUCUUAACAUUUCACAGUCCAACUACCAAGUGUCCCAGGCAGACUUCUUAACAUUUCACUCCAACUACCAAGUGUCCCAGGCAGACUUCUUAACAUUUCAGUCCAACUACCAAGUGUCCCAGGCAGACUUCUUAACAUUUCAGUCCAACUACCAAGUGUCCCAGGCAGACUUCUUAACAUUUCAGUCCAACUACCAAGUGUCCCAGGCAGACUUCUUAACAUUUCAGUCCAACUACCAAGUGUCCCAGGCAGACUUCUUAACAUUUCAGUCCAACUACCAAGUGUCUCAGGCAGACUUCUUAACAUUUCAGUCCAACUACCAAGUGUCCCAGGCAGACUUCUUAACAUUUCAGUCC